GACGAACGCUGGCGGCGUGCUUAACACAUGCAAGUCGAACGGAAAGGCCCUGCUUUUGUGGGGUGCUCGAGUGGCGAACGGGUGAGUAACACGUGAGUAACCUGCCCUUGACUUUGGGAUAACUUCAGGAAACUGGGGCUAAUACCGGAUAGGAGCUCCUGCUGCAUGGUGGGGGUUGGAAAUUUUCGGCGGUUGGGGAUGGACUGGCGGCUUAUCAGCUUGUUGGUGGGGUAGUGGCUUACCAAGGCUUUGACGGGUAGCCGGCCUGAGAGGGUGAACGGCCACAUUGGGACUGAGAUACGGCGCAGACUGCUACGGGAGGCAGCAGUGGGGAAUAUUGCACAAUGGGAGGAAGCCUGAUGCAGCAACGCCGCGUGCGGGAUGACGGCCUUCGGGUUGUAAACCGCUUUCGCCUGUGACGAAGCGUGAGUGACGGUAAUGGGUAAAGAAGCACCGGCUAACUACGUG
rnacentral:rRNA from 1 species